rnacentral:rRNA from 1 species
AAUAGCCUACCGGCUGAACCAGCAACUUGAAGGAAUGUAUAGCGAAAGCUAGUUGUGCUAAAUUACUUUAAUUUAAGGUAAUUUGUGCAAUAUUGACUAUGUUAAAUAAAAUUCUGGGUAGAAUUAUGAUGAUGACAUUAUUUGCCCAUGUGUCUUGACCAAAUUACGUGCCAGCAGUCGCGGUAAUACGUAGAAGACUAGUGUUAUUCAUCUUAAAUAGGUUUAAAGGGUACCUAGACGGCCAAUUAAGCUCCCCAAAAGAGUACUAAUUCGGCUAGAGUUUCAUAUGAGGGAUAUUUAAAAGUACUGAGAAUGUAGAGAGAUGAAAUUCAGUGAUACUAUAUAUGGCACUGGUAAAGGCGAAAGCAUCUUCUUAUGUAAUAACUGACGUUGAGGGACGAAGGCUGUGUGUAGCAAAAAGGAUUCGAUACCCAAGUAGUCUCAGCAGAAAAUGAUGAAUGUCAUAAUAUAGGUAAAUUUCUGUACUAUAAAUGAAAGUGUAAGCAUUCCACCUUAAGAGUAAUUUGGCAACAUUGGAACUGAAAUCAUUAGACCGUUUCUGAAACAAGUAGUGAAGUAUGUUGUUUAAUUUGAUAGCCCGCAAAAAACCUUACCGUAUCUUGAAUAUAAUUAAUUUUAUACAGGCGCUGCACGGUUGUCUUCAGUUAAUGUCGUGAGAUUUUGGUUAGUUCCAUUAAAUUAACGUAAACCCUUACUUCAUUUGAUUUUUUAUGGAGUAGUUCACCGCUAUAUUGGUAAGUGAUAACAGGGAUUAAGACAAGUCAUCAUGGCCCAAAUGAUCACGGGCUAUAGACGUGCCACAUAUGCCUUAACAAAGGGAUGCAAAAUUGUGAAAUUUAGCUAAUCCUUAAAGCAGGAUAAAAGUUAAAU